UACGGAAGGUGCAAGCGUUGUUCGGAAUGACUGGGCGUAAAGCGCACGUAGGCGGUUUCUUAAGUCGGAUGUGAAAGCCCUGGGCUUAACCUAGGAACUGCACCCGAUACUGGGUAACUUGAAUGCUUGAGAGGUUGGCGGAAUUCCAGGUGUAGGAGUGAAAUCCGUAGAUAUCUGGAGGAACAUCGGCGGCGAAGGCGGCCAACUGGUGAUGCAUUGACGCUAAGGUGCGAAAGCGUGGGGAACAAACAGG
rnacentral:rRNA from 1 species